rnacentral:misc_RNA from 1 species
GAUGAAGAACGUAGCGAAAUGCGAUAAGUAAUGUGAAUUGCGGAAUUCAGUGAAUCAUCGAAUCUUUGAACGCACAUUGCGCCCGUCAGUAUUCUGGCGGGCAUGCCUGUUCGAGCGUCAUUACGCCCCUCAAGUCCCCUGUGGACUUGGUGUUGGGGAUCGGCGAGGCUGGUUUUCCAGCACAGCCGUCCCUUAAAUUAAUUGGCGGUCUCGCCGUGGCCCUCCUCUGCGCAGUAGUAAAACACUCGCAACAGGAGCCCGGCGCGGUCCACUGCCGUAAAACCCCCCAACUUUUUAUAGUUGACCUCGAAUCAGGUAGGACUACCCGCUGAACUUAAGCAUAUCAAUAAGCGGAGGA